rnacentral:rRNA from 1 species
GAUGAACGCUGGCGGCGUGCCUAAUACAUGCAAGUCGAGCGAACAGACGAGGAGCUUGCUCCUCUGACUUUAGCGGCGGACGGGUGAGUAACACGUGGAUACCCUACCUAUAAGACUGGGAUAACUUCGGGAAACCGGAGCUAAUACCGUAUAAUAUAUUGAACCGCAUGGUUCAAUAGUGAAAGACGGUUUUGCUUUCACUUAUAGAUGGAUCCGCGCCGCAUUAGCUAGUUGGUAAGGUAACGGCUUACCAAGGCGACUAUGCGUAGCCGACCUGAGAGGGUGAUCGGCCAAACUGGAACUGAAACACGGUCCAGACUCCUACGGGAGGCAGCAGUAGGGAAUAUUCCGCAAUGGGCGAAAGCCUGACGGAGCAACGCCGCGUGAGUGAUGAAGGUCUUCGGAUCGUAAAACUCUGUUAUUAGGGAAGAACAAAUGUGUAAGUAACUAUGCACGUCUUGACGGUACCUAAUCAGAAAGCCACGGCUAACUACGUG